rnacentral:tRNA from 1 species
AGGUAUUUAGUCUAAGAAAAACACUUGAUUUCGGCUCAAGAACUUAUGGUUAAAGUCCAUAUUUACCUA